rnacentral:rRNA from 1 species
UACCCUGGACGGGGGAUCACUCGGCUCGUGGGUCGAUGAAGGACGCAGCUAAAUGCGCGUCGCCAUGUGAACUGCAGGACACAUGAAUAUUGACUUUCCUAACGCUCAUUGCGGCCCUACGGGUUCAUACCCAAGGGUCACACCUGUCUGAGGGUAGCA